rnacentral:rRNA from 1 species
UACGUAGGUGGCAAGCGUUGUCCGGAUUUACUGGGCGUAAAGGAUGCGUAGGCGGAUGUUUAAGUGAGAUGUGAAAUACCCGAGCUCAACUUGGGUGCUGCAUUUCAAACUGGAUAUCUAGAGUGCAGGAGAGGAAAGCGGAAUUCCUAGUGUAGCGGUGAAAUGCGUAGAGAUUAGGAAGAACACCAGUGGCGAAGGCGGCUUUCUGGACUGUAACUGACGCUGAGGCAUGAAAGCGUGGGGAGCAAACUGG